rnacentral:RNase_P_RNA from 1 species
AAAGUGCCACAGUGACGUAGCUUUUAUAGAAAUAUAAAAGGUGGAACGCGGUAAACCCCUCGAGUGAGCAAUCCAAAUUAGGUAGGAGCACUUGUUUAGCGGAAUUCAACGUAUAAACGAGACAUAUGCAUAUAUUUGUUAUGUGUAGACAGAUGGUUACCACCAACGUACCAGUGUAACUAGUGCACGUGAUGAGUACAAUGGAACAGAACAUGGCUUACAGAA